CAAGCCCGGUGCCCCGGAACUUGCUGCCUCUGCUCGCCAUCUUCCAGAAGGGCUACUCUCUCCUCUCCCGUUCUCCGUUUUAAUCUGUUUUAGUAGUAUUUAAGGAAGCAGCAGAGCUAAAACCAGCUUGACCUGAUUCGAGUUUUUAAUUGGUGUUUUCGAGGCAUUUGCUCACACUCGUGAGGUGAAUGUUCCGUAAGCUGGGCCUCCCUGCCUCCCCCACUUCGGUCCUUGUCCCACCUAGAGAGUCAGGAAUGUGUCCCAACUGGUGCUCAGCUGACUUGGGUUGUGUCCCCAGAUGGAUUUUAUUUCUAAGAAGUCGAGCCGACCAUGCGUAACUCAACAUCAGAUCUGGAAACACUUGGAGCUGCCAACAGAAGAGACGCAAAAUUUAAGUUUCUCCUUGUAUCUGUCAGUCUCUGUGACUCUGACAUUUUUAAAUUCUCAAGUAAAAUUGCAAACUACGUUGAAACGGUUAAAAGGUUAAAAA